rnacentral:rRNA from 1 species
CCAAGGCUAAAUACUACCUAGUGACCGAUAGUGAAGCAGUACCGUGAGGGAAAGGUGAAAAGAACCCCGGAAGGGGAGUGAAAUAGAACCUGAAACCGUGUGCCUACAACCGAUCGGAGCACGUUAAAGUGUGACGAUGUGCUUUUUGUAGAACGAGCCAGCGAGUUACGCUAUGUAGCAAGGUUAAGUACUUAAGGUAUGGAGCCGAAGGGAAACCGAGUCUGAAAAGGGCGAAAAGUUGCAUGGUGUAGACCCGAAACCGGGUGACCUAUCCAUGGCCAGGUUGAAGCGAGAGUAAAAUCUCGUGGAGGACCGAACCACGUGGUGUUGAAAAACCAUGGGAUGAGCUGUGGAUAGCGGAGAAAUUCCAAUCGAACUCGGAGAUAGCUGGUUCUCCUCGAAAUAGCUUUAGGGCUAGCGUCGUGUAAUUGAGUAAUGGAGGUAGAGCACUGAAUGGGCUAGGGGCUAUAGUAGUUACCGAACCCUAUCAAACUCCGAAUGCCAUAUACUUGUAUCACGGCAGUCAGACUGCGAAUGAUAAGAUCCGUAGUCAAAAGGGAAACAGCCCAGACCAUCAGCUAAGGUCCCAAAGUGUAAGUUAAGUGGAAAAGGAUGUGGGAUU